UACGUAGGGGGCAAGCGUUGUUCGGAUUUACUGGGCGUACAGGGAGCGUAGGCGGUUGGAUAAGCCCUCCGUGAAAUCUCCAGGCUUAACCUGGAAAGUGCAGAGGGGACUGUUCAGCUAGAGGAUGGGAGAGGAGCGCGGAAUUCCCGGUGUAGCGGUGAAAUGCGUAGAGAUCGGGAGGAAGGCCGGUGGCGAAGGCGGCGCUCUGGAACAUUUCUGACGCUGAGGCUCGAAAGCGUGGGGAGCAAACAGG
rnacentral:rRNA from 1 species